rnacentral:RNase_P_RNA from 1 species
UGAGGAAAGUCCGGGCUCCACAGGGCAAGGAUAACGGGUAACGCCCGCCGAAGGCGACUUCAGGAAAAGUGCAACAGAGAUAUACCGCCCCGCCUCCCUUCGGGGAAAGCGCCGUGAAGCAGAAUCGGCGGCAUAGCCGGUGAUGACGUGGAACGGGCUGGCGGAGCAAGGAUGGAAAGGUGCGGUAAGAGCGCACCCGACGGCUCGAGAGUGUCCGUCGCUGUAAACUCUAUCCGGAGCAACACCGGUAUGGGAGCGCAUAGGCUGGCCCGGCCGCUCCCGGGGUGGCUAGAGCGCGUUGGCAACAGCGCGUCGAGAUAGAUGACUGUCAGAUACAGAACCCGGCUUACAGUUUUGCUCGCAGA